UACGAAGGGGGCUAGCGUUGCUCGGAAUCACUGGGCGUAAAGCGUGCGCAGGCGGUUCGCAAAGUCUGAUGUGAAAGCCCCGGGCUCAACCUGGGAACUGCAUUGGAAACUAACGGGCUCGAGUGUGGCAGAGGGGGGGUGGAAUUCCACGUGUAGCAGUGAAAUGCGUAGAGAUGUGGAGGAACACCGAUGGCGAAGGCAGCCCCCUGGGCUAACACUGACGCUCAGGCACGAAAGCGUGGGGAGCAAACAGG
rnacentral:rRNA from 1 species